CGGGUGCACUGAUCCGGCCGGGCCUUUCCCUCUGUGGAACCCCAUGGCCUUCACUGGCUGUGCGGGGGAAACAGGACUUUUACUGUGAAAAAAUUAGAGUGCUCCAGGCAGGCCUAUGCUCGAAUACAUUAGCAUGGAAUAAUAGAAUAGGACGCGUGGUUCUAUUUUGUCGGUUUCUAGGACCGCCGUAAUGAUUAAUAGGGACAGUCGGGGGCAUCAGUAUUCAAUUGUCAGAGGUGAAAUUCUUGGAUCUAUUGAAGACUAACUACUGCGAAAGCAUUUGCCAAGGAUGUUUUCAUUGAUAAGGAACGAAAGUUAGGGGAUCGAAGACGAUCAGAUACCGUCGUAGCCUUAACUAUAAACUAUGCCGACUAGGGAUCGGACGAUGUUAUUUCUUGACGCGUUCGGCACCUUUCGAGAAAUCAAAGUGCUUGGGCUCCAGGGGGAGUAUGGUCGCAAGGCUGAAACUUAAAGAAAUUGACGGAAGGGCACCACCAGGGGUGGAACCUGCGGCUUAAUUUGACUCAACACGGGGAAACUCACCAGGUCCAGACACAGUGAGGAUUGACAGAUUGAGAGCUCUUUCUUGAUUCUGUGGGUGGUGGUGCAUGGCCGUUCUUAGUUGGUGGAGUGAUUUGUCUGCUUAAUUGCGAUAACGAACGAGACCUUAACCUGCUAAAUAGCCCGUACUGCUCUGGCAGUUCGCCGGCUUCUUAGAGGGACUAUCGG
rnacentral:rRNA from 1 species